UUGCUGCUUUGCUGACGAGUGGCGGACGGGUGAGUAAUGUCUGGGGAUCUGCCUGAUGGAGGGGGAUAACUACUGGAAACGGUAGCUAAUACCGCAUAACGUCGCAAGACCAAAGAGGGGGACCUUCGGGCCUCUUGCCAUCGGAUGAACCCAGAUGGGAUUAGCUUGUUGGUGAGGUAACAGCUCACCAAGGCGACGAUCCCUAGCUGGUCUGAGAGGAUGACCAGCCACACUGGAACUGAGACACGGUCCAGACUCCUACGGGAGGCAGCAGUGGGGAAUAUUGCACAAUGGGCGCAAGCCUGAUGCAGCCAUGCCGCGUGUAUGAAGAAGGCCUUCGGGUUGUAAAGUACUUUCAGCGGGGAGGAAGGCGUGAAACCUAAUACGUUUCGCGAUUGACGUUACCCGCAGAAGAAGCACCGGCUAACUCCGUGCCAGCAGCCGCGGUAAUACGGAGGGUGCAAGCGUUAAUCGGAAUUACUGGGCGUAAAGCGCACGCAGGCGGUCUGUUAAGUCAGAUGUGAAAUCCCCGGGCUCAACCUGGGAACUGCAUUUGAAACUGGCAGGCUUGAGUCUCGUAGAGGGGGGUAGAAUUCCAGGUGUAGCGGUGAAAUGCGUAGAGAUCUGGAGGA
rnacentral:rRNA from 1 species